CCAAAAUCAUUGACAAAAAUAGCACUUUCUGGGCAGAAUUUCAAAAAUAGCACCUGUGCAUUACCUUGCUCAAAAAUAGCGAAAAAAUGUCUUAAAUAACAGAGAAAUUAAACCUCAAAUCCUCAAUCAAGUGAUUGAUAUCAUAUAACUACAACAAUUUUAAAGAGUAAAGCUAUAAUUUACAAACCCUUUUCAUAUUCUUUGAUUUCAACAUAAAUCUUCCAAUAAACAUUUCCUUUGCAAUAAUAUUUUUAAAUACCUCAAAUACAUCUUAAUAACCUUUAAUUUUUGCUAACAUUCAAACAUAUGAAAUUGUUCACAAUCUCUAAAAUCAAAUAUCAUCCAUUAAUAAAUAAAUAUUUUGCUUACCUUCAAGAUGAAAUUGGAAAACAAAUAACCCAAACUUGAAAAUCUACUGUCCUCUUUCUUUUCUUCUUCUUUUCAUUCUCUUUUUCUUCCUUCCUUUCUCUCUUUCUUUCUACUGUUUUCUGCUUCUCU
rnacentral:lncRNA from 1 species